GAGAAUGUCUAAAGAACUGCUAACUCUUUACUCCAUACCUAACCAGCAUGGCUUUCUCA
rnacentral:tRNA from 1 species